CUGUAGACUUUUAUGAGCUACAACUGUGUUACUUUAGGAUUUAUAAUAUACAUAUUUAAUUUAUCCUAGGUUCAAAGGGUAGUAUGCUGCUCUACAAAUCUUCAACACACCUUCAUUUCCUCUUAGCCUGGUAUUUAAUAUUUUAAAUAUUAAAAAAAUGACAGUAGUAUAAAUUUGUUUGCAAUGAGUAAGCACACGAGGGGGACCCACAAGCACAUCAGAGGGUCCAUUAUGUCUUUAGAAUGUGGAUAGCGGAGGAUUGGCACCUGAUGAAGAGGUGGAGUCAGAAGUAACUCCAGCUGAGGAGAAAGAGCAAGUAGGAGGAGGAUGAGCCCACCUGUCCAGUUUAUAGGAAUCAGCAGAUCUAAAGCAAUUGAUGUUGGGAAGACUGGGAGGCUGCCUGGUACCUUUACAUCAGCAAAGAACUGAUAAGUGAAGAAGGAGCUUGUGAACUUGCAGAGAUAAAAAGAUGUUAGCAGCAAAUUUGAAAACUCCAGCAAAAUCAGUUCCAGAGGAUUUUGGUGAGUGAAGAAAAGAUUAAAAAGGGCUCUGGGGGCUGGGAGUGUGGCUUAGAGGUAAAGCACUUGCCUAGCAGGAGUGAAACCCUGGGUUCCAUCUCCACCACUGCAAACACAAAAAACAGCUCUGCAGCAACACCGACCCAGAGUUCCCAGGUAAAGAGCCACCCACUGGCUCUCUCGUCCCAGCCCUAGACUGGUGCUUCCCCAGGGUGCCAUUUCUCUGGUGUGGGGGCAGUUCCCUGGGGCAUCCUUAUAAUUGUAAAUACCACUUGAUUUUGGUGACAGGCUGUGAAAAGUCUCUGUUGUGUUUAUUCCCCUUUCAUUUCUAUAGCCACUGCCUUUCCUCUAUCCACAUUGUUGUGUUCCUUUUGAUUUGGUUGUGUUCUUGCAAAAUAUGUCAUUUUCACUUGCUGCUUUUUUCUUUUUCUUCCUUUUUUGUAGUACUGGGGACUGAACCCAGGUUAUCACAUAUGCUGGGCAAUGCUCUACCAACCCUUUUUAUUUUAUUUUGAGACGAGGACUUGAUUGUUCAGGUUGGCCUUGAACUUGUGAUCCUUCAUACCUAAGUCUCCCCAGGAGUUGGGAUUUUGGGAGCCCCGAGCUCAUUUAUUGAUUUUUAAUAUACAAUAAAGAUGUAUGCCCCA